rnacentral:tRNA from 1 species
UAUGACAUGCCAGAUGAAUGGGGAAUGUUGAUAAUGUUCUUAUGUGUUUUGCACUGUCAUAU